rnacentral:rRNA from 1 species
AUUGAACGCUGGCGGCAUGCUUUACACAUGCAAGUCGAACGGCAGCGCGGGCUUCGGCCUGGCGGCGAGUGGCGAACGGGUGAGUAAUGCAUCGGAACGUGCCCAGUAGUGGGGGAUAGCCCGGCGAAAGCCGGAUUAAUACCGCAUACGACCUGAGGGUGAAAGCGGGGGACCGAAAGGCCUCGCGCUAUUGGAGCGGCCGAUGUCGGAUUAGCUAGUUGGUGGGGUAAAGGCUUACCAAGGCGACGAUCCGUAGCUGGUCUGAGAGGACGACCAGCCACACUGGGACUGAGACACGGCCCAGACUCCUACGGGAGGCAGCAGUGGGGAAUUUUGGACAAUGGGGGCAACCCUGAUCCAGCCAUGCCGCGUGCGGGAAGAAGGCCUUCGGGUUGUAAACCGCUUUUGUUCGGGAAGAAAUCCUCUGGGCUAAUACCCCGGGGUGAUGACGGUACCGGAAGAAUAAGCACCGGCUAACUACGUG